GUCAUUACACCACUCAGGAGACCGGCACCAGAACACAGACAGCCCAAUGGACCAGCAUCCAAAGCAGCAUUUGGACCUGUUACUGGAGUCUGAGCGCUGAGGUUAUGCCUGAUCCUCGGAGGUAUGAGCCUCUGAGGGACAGCCCUUGAGAUAAAAGGCUGCACCAGCAAGGAGAUAUCAAAUAUCUUUCACAUUUGCAAAAGAUGUUUGCAUGGUCUGAGCAUGCGCCUAUUAGCGUCAGACUGGAGCUGAUCAGAGAUGUAGCCUGAGGACAGCAGAGAAGUGGAAGCUAACCAGGGGAGUGCAGGCUCCCAGGAGAAGAGAAGUGACAGAAAGAGCUGGGGCAGUCGUGGAAAGCAGGAGGAGAAUGCCGCUUCAGUCCUUUUCUCCAUUUCUAGAGCAAAUAAAUACAGGAACUGAUCUGGCAAUAACUCCAUCAUCGUCUAGUCCAAAACAGCAACUGCUCUCCUGUGUGAUCAGCAAUGUGUUAUCUAGUUUGGGGGGAGGGAACUUCCUCAUUCAUGAUGAGUCACUAGUCUCUUUGUAUAUGCUAAUCAGGUUCAGCCUUGAAGACAUCCAAAGGGCUGGCCUAAGCUUCCUGUCCACUACCUGUUUGGAAUAUCUAUUGUUCUAAUAAAAGUGAUUUUAGCUUA